UACGUAGGCAGCGAGCGUUGUUCGGAGUUACUGGGCGUAAAGGGUGUGUAGGCGGUUGUUUAAGUUUGGUGUGAAAUCUCCCGGCUCAACUGGGAGGGUGCGCCGAAUACUGAAUGACUAGAGUGCGGGAGAGGAAAGUGGAAUUCCUGGUGUAGCGGUGAAAUGCGUAGAUAUCAGGAGGAACACCGGUGGUGUAGACGGCUUUCUGGACCGUUACUGACACUGAGGCGCGAAAGCGUGGGGAGCGAACAGG
rnacentral:rRNA from 1 species